GCCUGGGUGGCUUAGUCGGUUAAGCAUCUGACUUCAGCUCAGGUCAUGAUCUCCCAGUUCAUGAGUUCAAGCCCCAUGUCAGGCU
rnacentral:tRNA from 1 species